GUUAUACUAAAAACAACAUUUCCUACUAGGCAUAUAAUAUAUGCGAGAUAUCAAUCGCUAGGGAAAAUGAUGGAAAAUGGAAUUCAAAUUAAAUCAAUCCAAAAGUAUCAACAUAGUUGCGCAUCAGAUUGUAUUCACCAAGUGAAUUUAUUUUAGUGGAAGUAAAACAUGGCGUUCUUCAAUAUCACAGGAACAACCUUUUCUCAGCCUCACACUUCACCACCAGCUGCUCAAUCUGCAAAAGGUUUUGAAAACAUUUGCAGAGCUGAAUACUAGUGUACUCAGUGGGUUGAGCCAUUUAAAAACAUUUUGAAAGCUAUUUACUGAAAAGAUAAUUCAUGAUUUAAUCAAUAUAACACAAAAUAAACGUGUCAUUCCAUGCAUACUAAAAAUAAUCUGAGCUCAUAUUUUCUUGGCUCAUCUAUUGGGCGCUAUCUACAACCAGUCGUCAUCGAUCUCUCGAGCCAACAAGUUCUGGUGUACGUACACAAUUCUGGUUAGCAGAGCUAACAAAGUUCUGAUUGGCGAAGCCAACAAUGUUAUGGUAGAAGCAAUAACCAAUAGAGAACAAAAACAUUUUAAGCAUGAACCAUCAACUUUAACAUUUCAUAAAAACAAGCUUAUUAGCUCAAACAUACAUUUCAUAAAUAAAGUCUUACUUGAUUGCUGAUAAUCCAAACAAUUAAACCGAGUUGAUCAGAAUCCUAAGUAUCCUCUUCUGUAAGUCCUACAAGAUAAGUUCUCAACUUAAGCUCGUAGUUCUAAAGUAAACCUUAAC
rnacentral:lncRNA from 1 species